GCAGGGGAUCGCAAGACCUUGCGCUGAUUGAGCGGCCGAUAUCAGAUUAGCUUGUUGGCGAGGUAAAAGCUCACCAAGGCGACGAUCUGUAGCGGGUCUGAGGGGAUGAUCCGCCACACUGGAACUGAGACACGGUCCAGACUCCUACGGGAGGCAGCAGUGGGGAAUUUUGGACAAUGGGGGCAACCCUGAUCCAGCCAUGCCGCGUGAGUGAAGAAGGCCUUCGGGUUGUAAAGCUCUUUCAGCCGGGAAGAAAACGCAUGGGUUAAUACCCUGUGUGGAUGACGGUACCGGAAUAAGAAGCACCGGCUAACUACGUGCCAGCAGCCGCGGUAAUACGCAGGGUGCGAGCGUUAAUCGGAAUUACUGGGCGUAAAGCGUGCGCAGGCGGUUUUGUAAGACAGGCGUGAAAUCCCCGGGCUUAACCUGGGAACUGCGUUUGUGACUGCAAGGCUAGAGUACGGCAGAGGGGGGUGGAAUUCCACGUGUAGCAGUGAAAUGCGUAGAGAUGUGGAGGAACACCAAUGGCGAAGGCAGCCCCCUGGGUCGAUACUGACGCUCAUGCACGAAAGCGUGGGUAGCAAACAGGAUUAGAUACCCUGGUAGUCCACGCCCUAAACGAUGUCAACUAGGUGUUGGGAGGGUAAAACCUUUUAGUACCGGAGCUAACGCGUGAAGUUGACCGCCUGGGGAGUACGGCCGCAAGGUUAAAACUCAAAGGAAUUGACGGGGACCCGCACAAGCGGUGGAUGAUGUGGAUUAAUUCGAUGCAACGCGAAAAACCUUACCUACCCUUGACAUGCCAAGAACUUUCCAGAGAUGGAUUGGUGCCCGAAAGGGAACUUGGACACAGGUGCUGCAUGGCUGUCGUCAGCUCGUGUCGUGAGAUGUUGGGUUAAGUCCCGCAACGAGCGCAACCCUUGUCGUUAAUUGCCAUCAUUUAGUUGGGCACUUUAACGAGACUGCCGGUGACAAACCGGAGGAAGGGGGGAUGACGUCAAGUCCUCAUGGCCCUUAUGGGUAGGGCUUCACACGUCAUACAAUGGUCGGUACAAAGGGUCGCCAAGCCGCGAGGUGGAGCCAAUCCCAGAAAGCCGAUCGUAGUCCGGAUCGCAGUCUGCAACUCGACUGCGUGAAGUCGGAAUCGCUAGUAAUCGUGGAUCAGAAUGUCACGGUGAAUACGUUCCCGGGUCUUGUACACACCGCCCGUCACACCAUGGGAGCGGGUUCCGCCAGAAGUAGGUAGCCUAACCGCAAGGAGGGCGCUUACCACGGCGGGGUUCGUGACUGGGGUGAAGUCGUAACAAGGUA
rnacentral:rRNA from 1 species